rnacentral:lncRNA from 1 species
CUUUCUAUGCAUAUUACUUGGUGCGUGCACUUCUUUUUAACAUCUCAGUCUGACUUGGUUUUACUUCACUGACGUUGUGCUCUACCACCAGGAAUCGGGCAGCAACAGUAACACAACGGAGGACACUUCUGAGCAAGCAAACCUUGAUGCCAUCUUUGUUCCUCCCCCUGAGUUUCAGAGCUCACCUCUGGAGGUUCACUCUGAGGAAAAAGGAGACAACUCUUCUGAACCUCAAGUCAACCUAUUCCAGACCCUAAGCCACCAGCGCCACCCCUUCCAGACAUCAACACAACAAGCCAACAGUCUUUUUCACAAUGUCACCUUGAACUCACCGGCUCAAGAGCAGAACGUCUCCAAAGGUGAAGUGGAGGAUAUUUUCCGUUCUGCUAAAGAGAAGGCUCCUUAUCAUGCUGCAAGUUCUACAGAGGUGAACCUCUUUGAAAAGUCUCUGAAUGUUUUUGUGGACCCAUUUGAACCUCCUUUAAAGAAGGAGGAUGAUCUCUUCCAGGCUCCAAAAUCUUCUGCUGCAAACCCUUUUUAUACUUCCACCAUGGACAAAGACAUGGAUUUGUUUCACGCAGGUCCAAAUAAAAGUGAAGAACCCUCCCCCUUCAUCAAAUUAGACACCAGAGAGGAGUCCAGUUUGGAUGUUUUUUCAUCGUCCUCAGUGGAUCCAUUCCCAAGCCCAAUUACAAGGACUUUAUUCCAAGACGUCUCCAGUUUGGAGGACCCAUUUGCUCCCUCUCCUCCUACACAGGUUAAUCCUUUCAUGUAUGGAUCAACAGGGACUCUUGACAUUUCUAAACCACUUCCACCCACACGCUCAACCACACCGCUCAAAAGCCCAUCAGAAAAGGUGGCGAUGCUUUCGUCACCCAAGAGACCACCAUUGGUAUCUCCUCCUCCCAUCCCACCAAAACCUUCCGUCAGGCCACAACAGAUCAUCCUAACAACUCCUCAGGGGACCAAACACGAUAUUAAUCAGCCGACUCCCCUCAGCCAGAGCAGGACUCUGUCCGGUUCGCCCAGCCAGUCUCCAGCAGAAAUGACUCAUGUUCAGACUUUCAAACGACCACCACGGCCACUUCCACGGACUAGACCACCAAAAACUGUAAAAACACCCGAGCCAGAACAGCCGCAAAAACCAGAAAGGCCACCACUGCCAGUAACCCCUGUACGCCAACAACCAGUUAAAAAUUAAAUCUCAUCUACUUAUACUAAAAUCCAUACAUUCACUUUAACUGCCUUCUAUUCUCAGAUUCAGCCAGAGCAAAGUGUCACAAAAACGUCUCCAAAACUCUUCAGAUCCCUGCCAAAGCCAGUUAUUCAGAGGAAACCUAAAUCUCCGGUAAGGUUUAAUUAGCUGGUUUGCUUUAGCUCUUAAAAAAAAAAAAAAAGUAAAACAUUCACCUGUUCUUCAAUGUGCAUGU